GACGGAGGGCGCGAGCGUUGUUCGGAAUUACUGGGCGUAAAGCGCGCGCAGGCGGGAAGGUAAGUCUGGAGUGAAAUUCCGGGGCUCAACUCCGGAGCUGCUCUGGAUACUGUCUUUCUGGGGACCGGUAGAGGCCGGUGGAAUUCCCGGUGUAGCGGUGGAAUGCGUAGAGAUCGGGAAGAACACCCGUGGCGAAGGCGACUACCUGGCCUGUUCUUGACGCUGAGGCGCGAAAGCUAGGGGAGCAAGCGGG
rnacentral:rRNA from 1 species